GGUUGAAAAUUUUAUUCAUUUCUACUUUUUAAAAUUGGUAUAGUUGACAAAAUAACUAGACAGUUACACAUGGCGUGCCACAUGUACCUCACGCUGACAUGUAGGAGCUGAUUUUUAACAGUAAAAAUGAAUGAAAUUUUUAACA
rfam:Gossypium hirsutum cultivar TM-1 chromosome 20, whole genome shotgun sequence